UGAACGUUUUCGUAUUACAGCUAUUUAUCAAACCACGAGUCUACGACUGGCCUACACUUUCUAUUGUGAUCAAGUCGGAAAUUUGCUUUGCACGCUACUCUCGGAACGCUGACCAUAUUACUUGUUAGCAGAUUCAAUUCUAGGUUCGAUUGUGGUUUGAAUUCUUUUACCCGUCGGAAAAUAAGUAUCUUUGACUCGGCUGGUCUGGAAAAAUUCAACAACAGCCAACAAUACACACUGAAGAUAAUCCAGUUCAUCAUUUUGAUUUUUGUUGUUGUUUUGGAAUAAAAACUUCUUUCCCUUUUCUUCUGGAACAGUUUGGGUGUUUUGGAAAAACUUUGUUUUUUUUUUCUUUCACGACAACUUUUCUUCUUUCAGAACGAUCAACAAUUGUUUUGAGUUAAUUUUUCGUUUCGUUUUAUGAAGCGAGUAUUAAAACACGUAUGGGUUAAAGUGAGUAUUGACUCGGAUUAGCCGCUGCAAAUGAUACAUGUGUCGACUCAAGCAUGGAUUUUUGAGGCACGAUCCAUAUCAAUCACAACACACAGUUAUCAAUUGACGUGAGCAUUUUGUUCGCUGUGAUUUCGUCACAAAUAACGAAAUCUACACAAAGCCAGACGUAUAGCAAAUGAUAUAUGAAUGAUUAGAGGAAACACAAGCGAAUCUCAAACCAACGAUUUUUUUCUAUGUAUGUCAUUAAGCAAUUAUCACUGCUGUUAAAUGCGUCUUUGUUAAUUUUAAUGUCAAUUCAUUGGGAUUCUGCGAGAAAAAAAUUAUAAAUACGCAACAUUUCUGAAAACUACAAUAAAUGUGCAGGCAAGUCCUGAUUAUUGUCGUUCACGACCGACAUUCUAAAAUCACAUUCCAACCGAUGAACCGCACAUGGGAGGAAUUUUUCAUGUCGUCAGUAUGUCAAUCAUUUCAAAUCUCAAUUACAAAUCGACCGAUAAUUUCAAUCAAUGACAUUUAUGCCAAUAAUUUCGAGUGUGUACUUUGAAUUAUCGAUUGAAAUGGUUCAAGCAUUGAAGCAAAUAUCCCCCGGUAUUCGAUUAUUGACUUGUUUAAACUUGAGUAGAUCAGUGGAAGUUUUUUUUAAACCGGCAUUUGAAAAGGUUCAACGUACGAAAAAUGAGACAUAUUUAAUUCUGUCUAGUUCAGUGGCUAUAGUUCAUUGUGCGAUUGAGCGAUGAAUGACAAAGCAUGUGUAAGCAUUGAACUCAACGUUAUUCUAAUUUCUUUUCGAAACCCGAUAUAUUUUUGUUUAGGUAUUACCGGCAGAUUUCUCAUUUCUUUCAGCAUUAAUAAAUUCAUUAUUCGAGACGGAAGAUGCUUAUGGUUAUGAACGUAUUUUUGACUAUUUCACAGAGUCAACAUUACAAGAAUGACUUUUUUACCUAUUGCAUUGCACUUGAACCGGAUACGACGAGCAACGUCACAAAUGUUCGCCGUGAUGUUUAUCUCGCAUCUUUUUGCAACUUUCGUGUUCGGGCGCUCCAUCUCUCUCUCUCUCUCUCGCUCACCGUGUCUGUUUCAUGGUCCACACGAAUCGCUUGAGUCGACAAAACUAAAACGGUGAAUCACAUAGUUCAUUUGAUCUGACUAACACUUUGUGUUCCGAACACGUACGCCAACAAAAGGGGAUUAUUUUAAUACAUGAACCCAGUUCAUGGAUGAGCGAAACAGAGAACUGAGCAUUCGCCAAGCGAGUGUAUCGUGUAUCGGUCGUUUGGCGCUUUUACACUUAUCAUUUUUGUCUGCGAGAGAGAAAGAGAGAAGAUUGUGUUUGGUAUUAUUUGAGCAUGAUUUAUUUUCUAUUUCUUUAUUUUCCAUAUUUUUCGAUACAAAGAUUAUUUGAUCCACUCCAGUGAAACGAACACAGCAACUGCAUCUCCAUCCACCUACACAGUAUCGGUCAUUUGUUGGUGGCAACGUUUACGGUGAAACGGGACAAUAGGUUGAUGUGUCGUAAACAGUUACAAUAAUCAUAUACAUUGAGCUGACUUGAAUAAAUGAAUAAAUGGGUCGUUCUAUUGAGCACAGCCAACAAACUGCCGAUAAAAAAACACAAACACAUGCCCCGGCGCAACGAAAGCGAUGACAAUAGCUAUGACACGGCAGUUAUUACAUCAUAUUUCAUGACAAUAAAUUCUAUUGAUAGUUCUCGAUAUUAUUAUCUAUUGGCAAAGUUUUGCGAGGCGUCUUUUUGUGUGGACGUUUCACGAAGCAUCAGGCAUCAGGGAGCAGGCGAUGAAUACAGAUGAACUGUGUCACUACAUUGCACUGAGAGCCAUUGAAAUGGAUGCCAAUUCGAGAUGACAACUUCCGCACUAUUUACCCAAAUCGAUUCGAUUGCAAAACGUUCACGACUGAGACGCAAACAUUUUUAUUAUUCCCAUUUCUCGGCAAAGUUCGGUGGCAGUAAUUUUCUUUGAUCAAGAUUAAUCGAAAUCAAAAUAUGUGUGGAAUGUGUCAAAUGAAGCGCCAUCUGUGUCAUGAUGAUUUUGUUUGUAUAAGUCCAAAUGCAUUCGUUCAAACGUUCAGAACCAUUAGCCAAUAUAGUAUUGCAUAGUUCAUCUUCCAUGGGCUUGGUUGCGCCAAUAUAACGAUAAACGUCAAUGUAUAGGAUUGUAUGCAUUGCACAUUGUGAUUCCGGAUUAAUUCCACCAAAAAAAUGACAACGAAGCUUAAAGUAAACCAUUUGGAAGCCGAGUUCUCUGUCAACAUAGUCUCUAUUUCUGUUUUAUUUGGAACAAACAAAAGCUCAUGCUUUUGUUGGAAUCAUUUCCAACAACCGAAUCGAAAAAAAAGCGCGCAAUUUUAGAACAGAAAAUUGGUUGUAUACAUAAAUGCAUUGGCAUAAAGAGAAAUGAAAAUGUCCGAUGCAAUUUCUGUCGUAUAUGCAAAUUUUGUGUGCACGAGACAGUCAAUAAAUUACAAGCGCUGUACCGUAUGUCGGCAUUUGCAUGUGACUCAAACAGAAUGAGAGAUAUUUUCAUUUAAAUAAACAAAUAUAAAUCCAAAAUCGAAAAUGUCGCGCUAAAAUGAAAACAUUGCAACGAUUUUUGUGGCAUCAAUUUAAUUUCCGGCUGCCUCCGAAAAUACUUUGGUCUGUGUUUUGCCUCUUUCAUUUCAUAUUUGCCAUACUCCGUUUGUUUUGUGCAACAAUCCAAUUUUCGGGCCAAAUCACUGGCACCGCACACAAUACACAAAUCAUAAACGAAAGGCAAACACAAGCCACAGCCCGAACACUUUCAACCGCUGACCUUCAGCCAGUGUUGAAUUCAUUCCAUUCCGUUUGCAAAUCGUAUUACAUUCUAUGCAAAUAUCGACGAGUGAUAUUUAUUAAAUUUUGAAAUUGUUUAUUUAAAGUCGGACCACAUUUUAUUUGGUUUGCUUAGGUUUCUAUUACGAAUUCAAUCAAAGACGGAAAACCAAAUACAUUUCCGUUAUUCAUGGAAAAUGCAGUACAGCUAUGCGAUUUAGAUGGGCGGCCGGGUACCACACUGGAAAGGUAUCGAAUUUUCGAGUGCUUGAUACACACACACACAGUUCAAUGUUCAUGCAUUCACUUGUAAAUGUUUAGUAAAACAUUCAUUGCCAUUGAUAUGGCAAUCAUUCUAAUUGUAAAUUGAUUUCGGAAUUUGUAGAUGAAAAUUCGACUGGAAAACCGAUCGCAAUUUUGAUAUCUAAUUUAAAUGGAAGAUUUAAUUGUCAUUCGAUUCUAUUGAAAUACUCUAGAUUCAGUCUGGAUAGUCAACCAUGGAUCCACACGGCAGUGGGUACAAAAUGUGCCAAGGAAUUUAAUGAUGAAUUUAACAAAAAUGCUAACAUUUAAGUAGAGAGAUUGAAUAUUCUUUGAUGUACAAACUGACCCGAAUACUGUCAACCGCUGACCACAACCCUAUAUUAUUUCUCAUUGCUUACGAAAUGCGAAAAUAGUGACUUCAUUACUCAUCAAUUGACAUCUGUAUGAAAUCGUACCUGAUUCACUCCAUUUCCUUAUCACCUGUUCUCAAUGCGGAUGAUUGUAUGCAAAUUUGCUUCGGAUUCAUGCACAUUCCGGCAUGUGAAAUGCAAAAUGUGCGACGGUAAUUAUUCAUUCCGCAUAUUCAUAGUGAUAAUUAAUUCCGUUAUCUGAUUUUAGUUGCUAAUUGCAAACGGAGAAAUCGAAAUUGUUUUGGAAUCGUUGUGGGAUAUUUCGCGAGUUACAAAGAAUCUCAAUCUUAAAUGUCAGUGCGAAUUCUGAUGCCAGUGACAAAAACAAAAUACGAAUAAAAUUGUGAGCAAAAAAUCCCCGUCAGGAUUUGCCCUUUUCAUCUAAAGUCAGCUGUUAUCUUUUGCACAUAUUCGCUGCGAUUUCUUUCAUUUUAUUUCAUUUUGAAAUUAAAUUAAUGUUUAAUUCUUGUUAGCGCGAGAAAAAAAACACGAGUUUAACACAACGACAAAAUGGUCAACACAUUGAAAUCGAAAGCAAAUUGUAAUUUAUUACUUCACUGGAAUUCCCAGCAUCUCUCGCUUCGACAAUGUGAACGGAUUAUAAAUGAAAUCUCGUUCGAUCUCACUCUGGCACAACUUUAGCACUGUUGUACACUGACUUAAUUGGGCCACAGUCGAAGAAAAAGAAACGCAUUAAAAAAUCAUUGAUUUAAAACGACGCAUAAGCUCAGACACCGUGUUUCAAUUCCAUUCAGUGACAAAUCAACUUGACUGUCGGUCAGCCGCAAAUCAACUGAACUUGGUCAAUUUUCGAAAUCGGUGAUUUUGAACGAAAAUAAGAAUUCGAAAAACAAUGUUCGCACGCAACGGAUUCAGUUUGGUAUUUUUGCUAGUUAGUGUGGGUGUUUUUUUGGUAGUGGUGGCACCAACAGUCAAAGCCGACAGUGCUAAAAGUACCGAAUGUAGUUGUGAUAAUAAUGAUGGCACUGAAACGGGUGGAAUUAAGGGUUUCCUCCAUAAAGUUACAUGUGGACUGAAAACUGGCGCAAAACAAGUGACAGACACGGUCAAAGACGGUUAUCAAUAUGUAAAAAAGAAGAUUUCAUCCAACCAAGACCAACAAACUGCUUCACCUGAUAUCGACUUAAGAUCGGAUGUACCCGGAGAACCAGUCAAAUUGGCUGAAUUGCCGAAACGUCGCUAAUUUCAAUCAACCGCAUCCCGAUGGAAAAAGACCUCAGAAUUGAUUCAACACUGAACGAAAAUGUAAUUUAUGGUGUUUUGAUUUGUACAAAAUUAAACUGCAAUAACGAAUACUUGGAAUUUUGAUAUAUUUGUAUGAAAUCAUAAUAAAAGAAUAAAACAAAUAUGACCAAAACACAA